UCCCUUUUCCCUUUAACAACUACCCUCUCCCUCUCUUCUUUCUCAAAACCCCUCCUCUUCCAUGUCAACCUGCCACCGCGGGUAACACAUACUCCAGACUCCACCACUGUCCCUCCUCCCUUCCCCUUCCAAGACCGGAAGAAAACCAGCCUCUUCUCCCCAAGAGAGAUGGCUUCUGUCCCCGCAGCUCAGUCUCUCCCCCUCCUUCUCCUCCUCCUCCUUGUCAUUGCUUUACUAACCCACUUCCCAUGCUCCACCGAUGCGGCGAGCGGGCCGACGGCGUCGAUGAGGCCUGCAUCGGCGGCGCUGCCGGGGCUGAAAUCGGUGCUGAUCGACGAGGCCAAGCGGCGGCGUCGGCUCAGCAGCUUCCAGAUAUGCGCCCUUUGCACAUGCUGUGGCGGCCCAAGGGGCCUCUGCUUACCUUCUCCCUGCUGCUACACCAUCAACUGCAACAUCCCCAACAGGCCCUUUGGCUUCUGCUCCUUCACCCCCAAGACGUGCAACUGCUUUGGGUGCCACCUCUGAACCGCUCUCCUAGAAAAACUGCAGGUUCACUCGGCAAACAUGAAACAAGGAGUUGGUUUCUGAAAGCGAAGAAAGAGGGAGAUCAGAAACUGAAAUCACAUCCAAAUACUGAAUUACUUGUUCUGUCUUCUUUUCUAAAAUCAACCUCUGUUGUCUUCCAAUUGCUAAUCAGCCAACUUUGUUAUUUUCUCCUCUAGGAUUUUCCAAGCACAAAAAAAAAAAUUCCCUUGCUAGUUGAUAAAUAUUUUGGUUAUGGAAACUGUAAUUCCAGGAGCUUAAGUUGUUAGCUAAUAUUUUCUAUUAUGAAUAAGUUGGUUUCAUCUAUUAAACUUUUAGAUUCAAUGAGAUUGAUUAAAAAUUAAAUAUUAUAUCAAAAUUAA